UACGGAGGGGGCUAGCGUUGCUCGGAAUCACUGGGCGUAAAGCGCACGUAGGCGGAUUGCUAAGUCAGGGGUGAAAUCCUGGAGCUCAACUCCAGAACUGCCUUUGAUACUGGCGAUCUCGAGUCCGGGAGAGGUGAGUGGAACUGCGAGUGUAGAGGUGAAAUUCGUAGAUAUCGUAAGGAAGACCAGUGGCGAAGGCGGGUCUCUGGACAGUUCCUGACGCUGAGGCACGAAGGUCAGGGGAGCAAACGGG
rnacentral:rRNA from 1 species